rnacentral:lncRNA from 1 species
UAUAAUUCUGGAAAUACAUUUAAGACAAUCAAUGUAAAAUUAAAUUGCACUAGUUAAAUUUAUAUAUACAUUUUUACUUAUAAGCAUUGGUUCUGUAACCGAGUAAUAUAUACAGGCGAGGUAAAAAAGGAUAGACUUUAUGUCUCGGUCACGAACUGGUUUAAAAUAAGAAAGGUUUGUAUCUCGGUUUUUAGAUAACCGAGGCAAUAGCAUUUUUUUUUCAGGUUUUGAAACCUCGGCUGUAUCAUUCAGACUUUCAUCAUUAUCAGUUAUUUUCAUUUAACUCCUUAGGGUUUUCUUCUUCAGGCUUCUUUCCCAUGAUUCUAUCAAAGUCAUCAUUUUCCUAUUAAUCCACCUUCAUGUAACCUUUCCCUCAUAAAAAAAUUUUCGGCAAAGGCACCCUCCAAACAGGCUUUGCAGAAGUUGUGACCAGUAAUGGGGUACUGCAUCACCUUGCGGCAUAUUUCGACACGCCUAUGCUCACAAGAGCCUCUGUCGCCAAAGUCGACACGCCUCCGUGCAUCACCUUGAAGGGCUUCACCAUGUGCAAAAUUAAACCAUAAAGUUCCCAUCUUUACUAAAGACAAACAAAAACCAUAACAGUGGGCGAGAGAAACAGGCAGAGGCACGACAAGGGAGAAGGAGAAGAAAUGGAGGCAGGGUGAGAACGACGACGACCGCGAAGGGGGAGGGUCGGCGAGGGAGUCGCUAGAAGUGGGCGGUGAUGGAGGAAGAACAAUGGCAAGGGAGGAGAGGAAGAAGAAGACCACGGUGCGAGGAGAGGAAAGCGCCAAACCAGCUGUGCAACGGAGCAGGGAAGAACAGUGCAACAGUUGGUGUGGAGCAGGGAGGGCAGUGUAGAGGGGCGGUGCAGCAACGAUGGUUCAACGACAGUGCAGCAGACCGAGGCAAUUAUGUGGACUUCUCAAUCAAGGAAGCAACGAUGGUUCAACAAUGGUGGUUCAAUGACAAUGGUUGGAGGUAGCGAUGAAAGGGAGCGACGAAGCAGAAGAAAACGGAGGGCAGAAGAAAGAGAGUGUGCAAUGAAGUGGAGAAAUGAACGUGUAGGGAAAAAAAUUUGAAUAAGUUAAGAGCUAUUACAUUGGUCCUCUAGUUAACCGAUGCCAUAUACAUGUAUAUGCCUCGGUUGUUGGUUUGUCCAAUGCAUAUGCUGAGCU